UACGGGGGGAGCAAGCGUUGUUCGGAUUUACUGGGCGUAAAGGGCGCGUAGGCGGCCUCUGCAAGUCGACUGUGAAAUCUCCGGGCUUAACCCGGAAAGGUCAGCCGAUACUGCAGGGCUAGAGUGCAGAAGGGGCAACUGGAAUUCUCGGUGUAGCGGUGAAAUUCGUAGAUAUUGGGAAGAACACCGGUGGCGAAGGCGGCUCUCUGGACCGAUACUGACGCUGAGGCGCGAAAGCGUGGGGAGCAAACAGG
rnacentral:rRNA from 1 species